rnacentral:misc_RNA from 1 species
GAUGAAGAACGCAGCGAAUUGCGAUAUGUAAUGUGAAUUGCAGAAUUCAGGGAAUCAUCGAAUCUUUGAACGCAUCUUGCGCUCCUUGGUAUUCUGAGGAGCAUGCCUGUUUGAGUGUCAUUAAAUUCUCAACUACACUGACUUUGAAUUGGUGUGGCUUGGAUUUGGGGGGAAAAUUGUUGUGGGCUUUUUGUAUAGUCUGCUCCCCUGAAAUUGAUUAGCGGUACCUUUGUGGAACUGUCUACAGGUGUGAUAAUUAUCUACAUCUUAGACAUCUGCUGGAAUGCUGCUUUCUAAACCUUACUUGUAUUGACAAUCUUGACCUCAAAUCAGGUAGGACUACCCGCUGAACUUAAGCAUAUCAAUAAGCGGAGGA